UGCAGUCGAACGAAGUAGCAAUACUUAGUGGCAGACGGGUGAGUAACAUGUGGGUAUCUACCCUUUGGCCUGGAAUAACACGAGGAAACUUGUGCUAAUACCGGAUAAGUCUUUACGGAGAAAGCUUUAUGCACCAUUGGAUGAGCCCGCACUUGAUUAGUUUGUUGGUAGGGUAAUGGCCUACCAAGACUAUGAUCAAUAGCUGAUUUGAGAGGAUGAUCAGCCACAUUGGGACUGAGACACGGCCCAAACUCCUACGGGAGGCAGCAGUGGGGAAUCUUGCACAAUGGAGGAAACUCUGAUGCAGCGAUGCCGCGUGAGUGAAGAAGGCCUUUGGGUUGUAAAGCUCUUUCGUCGGGGAAGAAAAUGACUGUACCCGAAUAAGAAGGUCCGGCUAACUUCGUGCCAGCAGCCGCGGUAAUACGAAGGGACCUAGCGUAGUUCGGAAUUACUGGGCUUAAAGAGUUCGUAGGUGGUUGAAAAAGUUGGUGGUGAAAUCCCAGAGCUUAACUCUGGAACUGCCAUCAAAACUUUUCAGCUAGAGUAUGAUAGAGGAAAGCAGAAUUUCUAGUGUAGAGGUGAAAUUCGUAGAUAUUAGAAAGAAUACCAAUUGCGAAGGCAGCUUUCUGGAUCAUUACUGACACUGAGGAACGAAAGCAUGGGUAGCGAA
rnacentral:rRNA from 1 species